rnacentral:sRNA from 2 species
GCAAUGUCACCGCUCAAUCGGACGCCUCUUCCGGGCGUCCGAGCCGGGAACCCACCGUUACACCGGGGUGAAUCCCGACGCGACGCGACAGCGUCACGCCGGGUAGGGCUGAUCUUCCCAGCCCGAACCCGUCAGCUAACUCGGUCGGCGGAUGACAGGAAGAAA